ensembl:lncRNA
CUUUUUAGGACAAUUAUCCAACUGCUUCCAACAGAACACUGGGGGAGGAAAUCACUGUGAGGAAGCCACGUAUUGGAGCAGUUUGCCCUGGGCUGUUGAACUGCCUCCAUCCUUGUACAUUUUCCAGACCUACCUGGAUAAAACCUGAGUGCCCUGAUCAGAUAGAUCUCAGAGCCAACCCAGCAGAAGUUCUUGUGGGAGAGGAGGAAGGAUGAUAAUGACAGCUCCCUUGUGCCCACACCUGGAAACUCUUCCACCCUUCCUCCUCGUGCUGGAGGGUGAUGUUCAGCGCAUGUUGAAGGCUUCCAGCAACUGAUUCAUUACCCCAUCAUACCAGAGUAGCAUCCAGCAUUGCUGUGUCAGUCCAGGGAGCCUUGUUGUAAAAUUUAGGUCUUACCAAUUCCUGCAAAGCACCAGAAGCCACAGAUAUCUGUCAUCCACUGGUGAUGUAAAGACACAUAAUCAUGGUUAGAAAAUAUUUCAAGGAUGCAUUAGUGUUUCACUAACGUAAAUGUGAUAUUUACGUAUAGGUAAUAUUCUAAGUGGCAUCUUCGUGGUUCCCCUACAAUUAAAAUAAUCAGUAGAAAGAUGCCUUCUCUUUUUUUUUUUUCAGCAGUACAUUUGAUAUCUCAGCCAUUUAACACAGCAUUGAAAACAUUUUCUUUCGUGCUUUAAACCUAGAUUUGAAUAUAUCUAUUUUCUAUGAACCGAGUUCAGUACAAACAUGAUAAAAUUCUCACUAAAGGAAAGAAGCACCUGGUGUAUACUGAACUUGCUUAGGAGAUGGAUGGGAGGCACUGCAAAAAGUUGACUCAGCAAGAAAUCUUUCUGCAGAUUUUCAAGGAAAGGCUUUUUGCUCUUGCAUCUUUACAAACAUCUCUGGAUAUACUACAACAGCCCUAUAUGUAGACACACUUAUCCUGGAAUUGGCUGCUUUUCUAUUCACUGAGGCAGGAAAAAAAAGAUAUUUUUCCCCCAGAACACAGGAAUGACAUGAACAGCAAUACCUGCUGAAAUUCAUGCAUACCCUAAUGCUGUAUACUGUAUGCAUACUGUCACAUUUUUUUCAAAUGGAGAAAUACUAAAUUUAUUUCCACGUGUGGCUCUCUUGUAUCACUUGGCAUUGAUGUAUUAUUAAGGAAAGCCACGACUACCUAUGACUGCGUUGCACAUUCUGCAGGAACACACCUACUAGCCCUGAUAACAUGGCCAUGUGAUUUGCAUAAUAACUUUCUGUCUAUCUAAAUUCACGUUUCUAUUACAACUGUGCAUGCGAUUCCUAGUGUUUUUCUCUGCUGUUAAACAGAUGCUGCAUUUCAGACUUGGUGAAAUAGUUCUCUCUCUCUAUUUUUUUUUCCCUUCACAGAACUGCUUUGGGAUCUCUUUAGCUGAAAGAUAGCAUAUAAAUGCAAAUCACCCUUGGCCACAUAGCCCAGAAUUACUUUUGCAUUUUAUUCUUGAUCUGCUUCUGUAUAUAGAGCAUUCCUGAAAGACAGUGAAAUUAGAUUUACUCAUAUGGCUGAUCUGCUUUGGGGAAAACAAACACAUGAUAGCCUUGUGCUACAUGAAUGUCAUGAUCUAAUGAAUGAUCCUGCUGAAAAGUAUCUCCUUUAAUUAAUUACUGACAAGACAAUUUCAUUUCAUUUAUAGCUUUAGAAAACAAACAAAGCAAAAAAUCCCAAAGCCUACAUAUAUGUAUGUCACACCUUCUCAAGUUUCUUUUUUCCCUAGUGUUAUUAACACAGAUAUAUACAUUUGCACCAAUAAUUGCUCUUUGUUUGAAUCCUCUUAAGCAAGUCUCCUUUAGUAAUGACUAUCACAAAACAUAUUCUGGCAGAAUAUGCAAAUUCUGCAAAAGAUAAGUCUGUUUAUGUUACUCAGUAAAGACAUAACGUUUACUCAAGAACAGAAACUCUACCUGCAUGCAAAUUAAAUUUAGAGCACUCCUUUGCAGAUAGUUAAAGUCUAUCAGGCCAGGGGCAAUCCAUGAAUGUGACUGCAGUGACGGAAGGUAAAGUGAGUAAGAAGUCUGAUCUGCAGACAGUGCACGUGUACCCGAUGCACGAAAAUUCCCACCAUGGGAUUGUCAAUGGUUUGUUCACCAUCCACAAGAAUUGGCUUCCUGUGUUAUGAAACUUUGGAAAAGCAGACAGAAAAGAAAUACGAAUAAAAAUGAAACUCCAAUUAAAAGAGCUAGAGCCAAGUGCUUACUGCAUCACAUCUUUCAUUCGCUUUCAUUGAGUCAUGGCUAGCAGGUGUCACCUAUGGUUUCAGAUCCUGCAUAUUCCUGGCACUGCCCACGUGCCAGCAAGGGGUUUAGGUGAAUACUCUCCCAGUUGUAGGCUGAUAGGCAUAGUGGCAAAGCAUGGAUAGUGCUGGUGUGACUUCCAUGGGAGACCGGAGUACUCACUGGGAAGCAGAUGUUGCAGUGAAGAUGUAAAAGCAGCACAUGUAACUAUGGCAUAGCCAAGGACCACAGAAGGAACGGUAGUUUCUUCAUGUGCCUCUGAUGGGGAAGAAAGCAAGCAGCAGUUGUGCUGAGGAAGCAGCUCAGGACAGAUUUACCAGCAAACCAGAUCACUUCAGGGCUUGCCCAGCUGAAAAUGAAGAGAUAAUGUAGAGAGGCAGAGUGCAAACCAGCAUGUAAAUAUUCAUUUUAUCACCUCUCAUCUUGUGAGAAAUGUGUCAUGGCUUCCUCCAUACCUACAGUUGCUCAGGGCUCUUGUUUCAUAGCUAAAGAUAAUUCUCCUGGUAGCAUGAUACAAAACAGUGGUGAAUUGUUUGACUCCAGAAGCUGGCUACCAACAAACCAGCUUUAUUUCCUCCCUACAACUCUCCACGCAUUCCAGGACUGGACCUCAUGCAUUGCAGGAGCACAGGGAGGGAUGCAGGAGCAGCAGGCAAUUUGUUGGCACCAUUUGGCCUUGACACAAAGAGAUGAGCUGAGGAAUUUCGGAAGGCCUUAUGGACAGCCAACAGAAGGAUGCUUGUGACAGCCAGGCUGGGAGCAAGGCAAAGGGGAACAAACCCAGAGCAGGACUCUUUAGUAGGGUCUGUUGUGACAAGACAAGGGUAAAUGGUUUCAAACUAAAAGAGGGGAGAUUUAGAGUGGACAUAAGGAAGCAGUUAUUUACAAUAAGGGCAGUGAAGCACUAGAACAGGUUGCCCAGAGAGGUGGUGGGUGCCCAUCGACACAGACAUGCAAGGUCAGGCUGCAGUGGGCUCUGAGCACCCUGAUCUGCUGUAGGUGUCCCAGUUCAUUGCAGGGUAUUUGCACUAGGUGGCCUUUGGGGAGACCUUCCAGAUCAAAUGAUUUCAUGAUUCUAUAAAAAAAGAUCUCCAGAACUUCAGAAGCAGCAAAUAUCCUCUGUGCACACUCCCUAGGUCGUGUAGCUGGCCAUGGGUGACACUGAUCGCUCCAGCAGACACGAUGUGCUGCCACUGUGUCAUGCAUGGCGCCUCGGCAGAUGCGCUCCUCCCAGAGCCAAUGUAUGUAAGUACUGAUCUUAUUGACUCUGAUACCAAUGGACGCGAUGUGACGCUGGAAUAAAGCCACAGCUGUGCCUCGCAGAAACCAGGGGGAACAAAACACCGGCAAGCUCUGGAGGCAACGCUUUCUCCGCGGGACCCCGUCCUGCUGGUUGUCUCCUUAACACGCCGAUCUCAAAGGGAACGCGGGGGCCUCUCUCCGCCCCACCUGAGGAUGUCUGCACACAAACCCCGGACGGCGGUGGCCAGGCUGCUUCGCUCCGGCCUCCGGGCACGAGGGUCG